GCUUUUACGGUUUUCCCUUAAGCAAAGCAACCAAAUUCAGCACACUCACAAUUCAAGAACUAGUGAUGGCUGCCGCCACAGCUUCUGCUACACUAUUCUCUCCAUUUCUUCCUUCCCCAGGAUUUCAUGAGUCAUGUCGAAGCCUAAAUUGGAGAACCCACAAGAUAGCGAGUAAAGCUGGUACUGUUAAAGUUACAGCUAAAUUUGAGCUGAAUCCUCCACCUUAUCCUAUGAAUGCUCUGGAGCCUCAUAUGAGCCGGACUACAUUUGAAUAUCACUGGGGGAAGCAUCACAGAGCCUAUGUUGACAACUUAAACAAGCAAAUAGUCGGAACAGAACUGGAUGAACUGACGCUAGAGGACAUAAUACUUGUUACAUAUAACCAAGGCAAUCUCCUUCCACCAUUCAACAAUGCUGCACAGGCUUGGAACCAUCAAUUCUUCUGGGAGUCUAUGAAACCUGGUGGAGGAGGACAGCCAUCUGGUGAACUAUUAAAAUUAAUCAACAGAGACUUCGGCUCCUUUGAAGCAUUUGUUAAAGAAUUUAAGGCAG
rnacentral:misc_RNA from 1 species